rnacentral:tRNA from 57 species
UGGGGAAUGGUGUAAUGGUAACACUGCGGUUUUUGGUACCGUCAUUCUAGGUUCGAGUCCUAGUUCCCCAGCCA